GCGGACCUGCCCAGAGCAGGGAGGUGUCGUGG
rnacentral:piRNA from 1 species